rnacentral:rRNA from 1 species
AACGAACGCUGGCGGCAGGCCUAACACAUGCAAGUCGAGCGGACCUUUCGGGGUCAGCGGCGGACGGGUGAGUAACGCGUGGGAAUAUGCCCUUCUCUACGGAAUAGUCCUGGGAAACUGGGGGUAAUACCGUAUACGCCCUUUGGGGGAAAGAUUUAUCGGGGAAGGAUUAGCCCGCGUUGGAUUAGGUAGUUGGUAGGGUAAUGGCCUACCAAGCCGACGAUCCAUAGCUGGUUUGAGAGGAUGAUCAGCCACACUGGGACUGAGACACGGCCCAGACUCCUACGGGAGGCAGCAGUGGGGAAUCUUAGACAAUGGGGGCAACCCUGAUCUAGCCAUGCCGCGUGAGUGAUGAAGGCCUUAGGGUUGUAAAGCUCUUUCAGCUGGGAAGAUAAUGACGGUACCAGCAGAAGAAGCCCCGGCUAACUCCGUG